AAUCAACGCUGGCGGCGUGCCUCAGACAUGCAAGUCGAACGAUUAAAGCUCCCUUCGGGGAGUGCAUAAAGUGGCGCACGGGUGAGUAACACGUAAGUAAUCUACCCUCGAGUGGGGAAUAACGUCCGGAAACGGACGCUAAUACCGCAUAAUGCAGCGGCACCGCAAGGUGACAGUUGUUAAAGAUUUAUCGCUUGAGGAGGAGCUUGCGGCAGAUUAGCUAGUUGGUAAGGUAAUGGCUUACCAAGGCCGCGAUCUGUAACCGGUCUAAGAGGACGGUCGGUCACACUGACACUGAAUAACGGGUCAGACUCCUACGGGAGGCAGCAGUCGGGAAUUUUGGGCAAUGGGCGAAAGCCUGACCCAGCAACGCCGCGUGAAGGAUGAAGUAUUUCGGUAUGUAAACUUCGGAAGAAUGGGAGGAAUAAAUGACGGUACCAUUUAUAAGCUCCGGCUAACUACGUGCCAGCCGCCGCAGUAACAC
rnacentral:rRNA from 1 species